AAUCCAUCUGGUCGAUCCCUGCGUCCAGGCAAUCCAAUCCGGGUCGAGGCAAUCCAAUCCAGCUCGUGAAGCUUGGGACGAGAGAGAUAAUGGCAGACUCCUCGCCUACUUGAAACUGCUCUGCCCUCCUUCAAGCUUGCAAUCAUGGCCCUCCUUAGGAGAAAGGUUGACAGAGUAAUUCAGGGCUUUAAUGGCAGUUGAUGCGCAGCACUCGCCCGGAGCUGAUUGUUGCAAGCUGCGGAGGACCACCACCAUGACCAUUCGCUGGAUUCAGCUCUCCACCUCGCUCUCUUGGUCGUCCAGAAAAAAACCAAGAGCGCUGGUGACGGCACUGGCGACUAUGGGCAAUGCCCACUUCUGAAGUUUUUGUCACUGCCCUCAACCAUAGGAUUUGAGAUUGGUUGUCAAUUUCUGAUGGUUGAUUUCAUCUAAGUUGCCGCUUUUCCUUACUACAGAUUUUUGGCUGCCUUCUACAUCCGCUCUCCCACCAAAUUACUAAUGGUGUUAGACUUUUUUUCUUACUGCUAUUUUUUUGUGCUACCAAAUUGAUGCAGGUGCUAUCAAAAAGGAUUGUCGCUGAUGUUAGUGGUAGGUUGUGUUGGGGAAUUCCUAAUUCCUAGCUCAUGAUUUGCAAUGGCUAUCAGCCAUAUUGUACGUGAAUUCUCGUAUGUCAUCUUAUUAUCUUAAUAUCCAUGUAUAUAUGCCUAUGAUUUGUAAAUU